rnacentral:lncRNA from 1 species
UCCACUUUAUUGAACGAUGGGGUCUCAAAUGGGCUGCCUCUUUGCCACUCUUUUGGUAGUAUCAGUCUCUUUAGCUACUUGCCGUUAGAAGCCUCCGCAAACAAAUACUACUACACAUCUCCUCCCCCUCCAAGUACAAGUCUCCACCACCACCCGCCACCGGUUCACAAUUCUCCACCACCACCCCGGUUUACCUGCCCCCGCCACCUCCUCCACCAGUCUACGUGCCUGCUCCGGCACCAACUCCAAUUUUCCCUUCUCCGCCACCUCCUGUCCCCAAGUCCCCACCACCACCUCACCCUUACGUCUAUGCAUCUCCCCCUCCUCCUUACUACUACUAGAAAGCGGCCAUGAAUAGCUCAUGCUUUUAUGGUAAUCUCAUUUAUUUUUAAAACUGUACAUGUAAAGACUAGUAGUUCAGAAUUACAUUAAGCAUUUCAAUUUUAAGCACCGUGUUCUGUUUAAUUGCGUUCCUAUUGAUUAAGUGACAAAUAAAAGAGAUUGAUUAAUUUGUUCUUGUAGGAGAGGCGAAUGGUAUCCGAAUAAAGAAAGCAAGGAUUUGAUGGAAGGCUUACUUGGAGCAAGAUAGCAUCAAUCGAGUUGCUGCGUUUUAUUCUCUUUUCUCUUUGUUUUUUAAGAAAAAUAAACUGCCACGUAGAAACAGAAAAUUAAGUUCUUGUCAUUUUCAUGCAUAUGGAUUGUUGCUGUGUGUGUCAAUCAAAUCUCCGUUGUGUCAUUUGUAAUUUUCAACCUUUAUGCAUGCAAAUGCGAGACCUCUUACGUAUAAUAAAAUUAAUAUACUUCCCAAGAUGGUCUUAUCUUGCGUUGACUUUUUACGUUCCUUUGGUGAUGAUUUUAACGUUUGAAAUUGAUGACUAUUGUUUUUGUAAACUCUGACAUGGAUUUUUCGUGCAACUAAAGAGCGCAUUAAUGAGAGGCUUAUCCAUGAGGGUCCAUGCAGAUCAGUGUCUAAUUAACCAAUAAUUAAUAUAACUUAAAAAAUAUAGAGUUAACAAUUUUUAUGGGUCAGGCUCAAUUGCAGAUGUUCGUACAAAAUUUCUUGCUAAUGUAUACUUGAGUAUGAUAAUAAGUUUUAAUCAUUAUUAAUAAUUCACUUGAUAAUAUUAAACAAAUUUUCAUAUCAAUUAAGUUACAAAAUUUCUGUGACAAAUUUCCACGUACUGGAACCAUGCAAAAGGACUUUAUUCAAACAAAGCUGCAUAGCCGUUGGCAAUUAAAAUUAUUUAUCAAUUACGUUAAGUAGUAAGAAUUGGAUUGUGGAUUCCAUUAAUUAUUUCAAGGAAAAUUUUAUAGAUAAUGCCGUAAUGAAAUUUACGGCAUCAAUACCAUGAUAAAUAUAAAUAUUGUAAAUUACAAAGAGAAUUAGUAAAGUAAAGUAAAACCAGUAAAUUCAUAAAAGAUUAUUAAUUAUUUAAAAAAUUAACAUUGUUUCUACAUAAUUUUAGUGAAAAAUAUUUUAUUCAUUUACAAAAUUUCUUUAAUUAAACAAAAAAAAUUCAUUAAUUAAGCAAAAAAAUUAUACUGAAAAAAAAGUGGAAUAAGUUUAAUUGAAUUGGUUAUCAUAAAUUCUAUAUUUUAGUCUAGACAUUUGUAUACAUUUUUUUUUCCCAUUUUCGAUAAUGAUAUCUAUUUGUUACACAUGUUAAUUAAGUGCAAUUAUUUAUCUUGAUGUGGACCAAGUAAAAAAAAAAAAAAGAGAUAUCAAUAAAAUUAGAUCUAAUUUUGAAUAUUAUGUAUACUUUAUGUAGUUUCAAACUUUUUACUUGUAUUUGGAGACCAUUUAAGGUUGUUGUUGAAGAAGUGUAGAAAGAUGUAAAAUAACUUCAUCUUACAACAACUAUGAAAGAUAUUAAAAUAAUAUUUUUUUCAAAAUCCGAUUUUGAGAAAAAAUUUCAUCCUUAAUUAAACAUCACAUGUAUUAUAGAAAUGAAAACUACCAUUGUUAUAUUUAAAUUAAAAAAUAAUAAAUAUAUAAGGUAAUAAACAUUAUAACGAGUUUUUAUUUUAAAAUUGUAAACUUUUGUUUCUGACAAUAACUCUUAUAUUAAUUAAUUUAUUUUGCAUUUUAUUCAUAAGUUUUAUGCAUAAUCUACAAACUUUAUGUUUUAUUUUGCAUUUAAUGUUGAUUUGGUUUUUUUAUAUUAUACGUAUAAGUUUUCAUUUUAUUUACCAGUAAUACAUCAAUUUAUCAGUUUUAUUGUAAUUUACUUAUUUUACCUUCCUUUUACAAUUCUUAUGUUUCAUUUUCAAAAUUUAUGUUUUAUUUUACAGUUGUUGAUGAUUUACUAGUUUUAUGUUAUGUUUGCAAGUUUUUGUUUUGUUUACUAGUAAUAGAUUAAUGGGUAAUUUUUAAUUGAGUCCUCAUUAGUUCUAGAAAAAAAAUUCAGAGACCAGAAGUUUACUAAUGAAUCAAUUAAAUUCUUUCAAGUACAAACUAAUGUCAUUCAAGUCCUUAACUUAAUUGCUCAGUUAAAAAUAUUAACAACAUUGAGGACAUUUUAGUAAAACACAAUUGAGUCGUUUCUCAUUCUUUAUUUUUGACAGGUGGAAAUAGUUUAAAGUUAACUCAAUUAACCUGAUUAAGUUAAGGAUCAGUUCUUUCAAAAAAAAAAAAAAAAAAGACCUACAGAAACUGCCAUAUUCUUCGUGUGAGAGGAGAGAUCGAGAGAACGUGGGAUGGUGCAAAAAAUGUUGUAUAAAACUACUGUGAUUUUGACCAAAGCUUUGGUAGCAUUGAUUGAGUUCAAGUACUGGAGAGAACCUAAGUUUAAAGGUUAGUAACUCUAUUUUUUUAGUGAUUUCUGCAAGCAUUUUCUGAUAAAAAAUUUUCCAUAUUGAGUGAUCGUUGUGAAAAUUAAGUUUUUCAAGUCUAUUUUUCAAAAUGACAAACUAUGUUUAAUUAUUGGUGGAUUCUUUUUUUUUGUUCAAUGUUGUAUUUUGUUAAUUUGUUGUUUUUAAUUUGCUCUUUAUGUAAUUGUUAGACCAAAUACACCAUUAUUAUACUUGUAUUCAUUUCAACAAUUUGGUAUCAUUAUAUAAAUAAGAUUGAAUUCAUUGUAUUUGCUUCUUUGUUCAUGUAAAAUUGAAUUCUAUGUAUUCUUAUGAGUGAUAAUUUUUCUAUCUAUUAGACUAAAUUCACUAUAUUCACUACUUUCUUUUUUUUUUUUUUUAGUUUAUAUUUUUUUAUAUGUAUUAGAUGAAUUUGCUUUUGUAUGUUUUUUUCGCCAAAUUGCAUGUAUAUUUCAUUUAGGUUGAGUUUUUUUUUGUUGUUUGCUAAAUAAAAUAUAUUGGUUUAUCCUUUUUUGAUGCAAUACUUUUGUUUAAAAUUAAUACAGGUAGCCAUGUUACCUUUUUUUUUCGGUUUAAAAUUAAUGGGGAUGUAUGCGAUAGGAUAUAGGGAACCAGAGGAAUAUAAGAUUAUUAGGCUGUUUCUUGAAAUUCAAGAUGUCAUGGUUAAGCAUGGACACAUUGAAAUGGAUUUGAUUGAAAUUUUUGUUGUAUUGCCAUGGACUACAAGUAGGCAGAGGAAGCUAAUUUCAAACGAUAGUGAAUUGUUUUNAUGAACAUGUACAAGAUCCCACUAGUUACAACAAAGCUCUAAUAGAUAGAGAUGUUGAAUUUUGGAAAAAGGCCAUGAAUCAAGAAAUGGAAUCUAUGUAUUCCAAUAAAGUCUGGGAACUUGUAGAGGCACCAAAUGGGGUAAAACCUAUAGGGUGCAAGUGGAUCUACAAGAGAAAAAGAGAGUAAACGGAAGGGUGGAAACAUUUAAAGCAAGAUUAGUAACCAAAGGGUUGUAUUUAGAAAGAGAAAUUGAUUAUGAGGAAACCUUUUCCCCGGUUGCUAUGCUUAAAUCCAUUAGGAUUCUGCUCUCCAUUGCUGCAGUGCUAGAUUAUGAAAUUUGGCAAAUGGAUGUCAAGACUGCCUUUCUUAACGGGCAUCUUGAAGAAAAUAUCUGCAUGCAGCAACCAGAUGGAUUUAUACAAAAAAGGCCAAGAACACAUGGUUUGUAAGUUGCAGAGAUCUAUUUUUGGAUUGAAGCAAACAUCCCAGUCAUGGAACAUCAGAUUUGAUCAAGCGAUUAAAUCGUUUGGAUUCAUUCAGAACAUUGAUGAAUCAUGUGUGUACAAGAAAAUUCAAGAAAAAUUUGUAGCCUUCCUAAUUCUUUAUGUAGACGAUAUUCUCCUAAUUGGAAAUGAUAUAGGAGUAUUGACUACAAUAAAAAGUUGGUUAGCAAAACAAUCUGAUAUGAAAGACCUGGGAGAUGUAAGUUAUAUUCUUGGUAUCAAGUUACUACGAAACCGGAAGAAUAAAAUUUUACCUUGUCUCAAGCAGUCUAUAUCAAUAAGAUAUUGGCUAGAUUUAGCAUGGAAAAUUCCAAGACUGGUUUAUUACCAUUCAAACAUGGAAUUACAUUCUCUAAAGAUCAAUCUCCUAAAACAUCUGAAGAGAUAGAGAGAAUGAGACGAGUUCCCUAUGCAGAAGCUGUGGGAAGUCUCAUGUAUGUCAUGCUUUGCACUAGGCCCGACAUCUGUUUUGCGGUAGGGAUAGUUAAUAGAUAUGAAUCUAAUCCUGGACCUAAACACUGGACUGCGGUCAAGCAUAUAAUGAAGUAUCUGAAAAGAACUAAAAAUUAUAUGCUUGUGUAUUCUGGUGAUGAACUCAUUCCAGUGGGUUAUACUGAUUCUGACUUUAUGUUAGAUAAGGAUUCCAGAAAAUCAACUUGCGGCUAUGUGUUUACAUUAGGAAGUGGAGCUAUUAGUUGGAGGAGUGUGAAACAAUCUUGUAUCGCAGACUCCACAACUGAAGCUAAAUAUGUGGCUGCAUCGAAGCUGCAAAAAGAAGCUGUAUGGCUCUGCAAGUUCCUACAAGAUCUUGAGGUGGUACCUGCUGUAACUGCACCCCUUAAACUAUUUUACGAUAAUAGUGGUGCGGUAGCUCAAUCUAAGGAACCACAAGAAACAAAAACAUAUUGAGAGGAAGUAUCAUCUUAUAAGGAAAUAGUGUAGAAAUGUUAUAUGACAGUGCCCCAAAUGACAUUAGAUGCUAAAUGACAGAUCUUAUUACAAUAGCCAUUAGUGGAAAACCUUUAUAACCUGCACUUAGAGCCCUAGAGCAUGUGCAAUAUGCCAGAUAUGCUUUAAGAGCUAGUGGGAGAUUGUUGGAAAAAUAUGCUCUUUAAAAGCAUAUGUGUUUAUUUAAUUGUAAUAAACAAUUUUUCUGAUUAAUAAAAUAAAUGAGGUAUUUUAUUCAAAUAUCUUAAUUGCAUUAAUAUUUUUAUUAAAGUCCAUUUAAUCAUAUUAUAUGUAUUUAUGUGAUCACCAUGUGGAUUCACAGAAGACAUAAAUACAAGUUAUCUUAUGAUUAAAUAAAUUUAGUUCGCAGUUGAUAAAUAAAGUUGGGCACUUUAUUUAGGUAUAUAGACUGUAAUAAAUUUAUUGAAUGAUUUGUCUUAAUCAUGUAUGAAUUUAUUGAUGUAGUACGACUACAUUGAACAGGAUCACAUAUGAGAUUUAAUUAACUUUGUAAUAACUGUCAGACUUAUAAAUCUCAUAGGCAUUGAUUUUACUGUAAUCUUAAUACUGAGUUAAUUAUGAUUUCAUGAUUGUAAUUGUUAUUCCAUUUGAGUUACCAAUGGGCACGACAUAUACUUGUGGUCAAGAUUACCCAGUAUCUUGGUGGGAGCAAUUAUGAGUAUUGGAGUUUAUGGAUUAACAAUAUAGAAUUUGUACAACACAUCUCUUGAUGGGUUUUGGCAGUUGAUCAUAUAAUUCUCUGGCCAGAGUGUGUCAAACAUAUUUAGUAUGUUGAAAAUAAUCAUUAACGAAAACCAGUAAGUAUUAAAAGAACACAAAUGUAAUUAAAUUGAUUGGAUAGUUGAGAUAUCGAUUUAAUUAAUGAUGUGGUACAAAGGAUUGUGCAGUAAAGAAAUCAAUGUGGCUUGAGACGAAUUAUUAUUCGAGCAUAUAAUUAUGGAAGUCAGUUCCAAUCUUUUAGUGGAGUAUUCCAAUCUUUUAGUGGAGUAGAUUUAGAAUUAAAUAAUUGGGCUAGUUUAAAUUACAGGCCUAAUUAUUGUAGCCACUAUUGUAUGUUCCCAAAUGAUCCCCGGGUUAGCUCAUUUAAUUGACUGCACCACUAUUGGAUUAAUAAGCAAGAUAACUAGCUAAUUUGGUCAAAAGCCUAAAUAUAUCAUUUAGUGGGAGGCUCCAUUUAAUUAGUUUGUGUGUAAGGGGCCUUAUGUUAUUUUACAAGGUAGGUCCCUUAUAGAAAAAGCAAGUAAUGUGAGUUUGUUUUUUAUUAUUUGGAGUCUAGGGUUUUCACUAAAGGGAGAUAUAAAAGGCUUAUUUUCUCUAAAGAAAAGAGAUAGCAGCCACUUUAUAUAGAUCAGAGAAAAAGAUUUUUCUCUCUAUUGUUGAGAGAAAAAUUUUCUCGUGCUAGUUGAUUUGGUAGUGAUAAAGGUGCCCACACGUCAAGUGCAGAUCAAACCUGAGUCAUAACCUGAAAGAUAAUUGGUGACAGUUCGUGAUCUAACAAGCGUGGUGGUGACGGAUCGUGAUUAGAAGCCUAAAUCACUUCAGCGGAAAAUCUAAAUCGAAUUUUCAAGGUACGAUUUCGAGAUUACGUAUUCUUAUAUAUUAUAUGAAGAGCGAUCUUAAAAAUGUUUUAUAAAAAAUUUAAAAAACUUAUCUUUCCCAACAUAUGGAACCAUGCAAAAGGGCUUUAUUUCAAACAAAGCUGCAUAGCCGUUGGCAAUCAAAAUACUUUAUCAAUUAAGUUAAGUAGUAAGAAUUGGAUUGUGGAUUCUAUUAAUUAUUUCAAGGAAAAUUUUAUAGAUAAUGGCGUAAUGAAAUUUACGGCAUCAAUACCAUGAUAAAUAUAAAUAUUGUAAAUUACAAAUAGAAUUAGUAAAUGUAAAGUAAAACCAGUAAAUUCAUAAAAGAUUAUUAAUUAUUUAAAAAAAUUAACAUUGUUUCUACAUAAUUUUAGUGAAAAAUAUUUUAUUCAUUUACAAAAAAAAAAUUCUUUAAUUAAAAAAAAUCAUUAAUUAAAUAAAAAUUAUACUGAAACAAAAGUGGAAUAAGUUUAAUUGAAUUGGUUACCAUAAAUUCUAUAUUUAGUCUAGAACAUUUGUAUACAUUUUUUUUCCCAUUUUCUAUAAUGAUAUCUAUUUAUUACACAUGUUAAUUAAGUGUAAUUAUUUAUCUUGAUGUGGAUCAAGUAAAAAAAAAAAAAGAGAUAUCAAUAAAAUUAGAUCUAAUUUUGAAUAUUAUGUAUACUUUAUGUAGUUUCAAACAUUUUACCUGUAUUUGGAGACCAUUUAAGGUUGUUGUUGAAGAAGUGUAGAAAGAUGUAAAAUAACGUCAUCUUACAACAAUUAUAAUGAUAUCUAUUUAUUACACAUGUUAAUUAAGCACAAUUAUUUAUCUUGAUGUGGAUCAAGUAAAAAUAAAAGAAAAGAUAUAUCAAUAAAAUUAGAUCUAAUUUUGAAUAUUAUGUAUACUUUAUGUAGUUUCAAACUUUUUACUUGUAUUUGGAGACCAUUUAAGGUUGUUGUUGAAGAAGUGUAGAAAGAUGUAAAAUAACUUCAUCUUACAACAACUAUGAAAGAUAUUAAAAUAAUAUUUUUUCAAAAUCCGAUUUUGAGCAAAAAUUUCAUCCUUAAUUAAAAAUCACAUGUAUUAUGGAAAUGCAAAACUACCAUUGUUAUAUUUAAAUUAAAAAAUAAUAAAUAUAUAAGGUAAUAAACAUUAUAACGAGUUUUUAUUUUAAAAUUGUAAACUUUUGUUUCUAACAAUAACUCUGAUAUUAAUUAAUUUAUUUUUUCCUUUUAUUCAUAAGUUUUAUGCAUAAUCUACAAACUUUAUGUUUUAUUUUGCAUUUAAUGUUGAUUUACUUUUUUUAUAUUAUACUUAUAAGUUUUCAUUUUAUUUACCAGUAAUACAUCAAUUUAUCAAUUUUGUAGUAAUUUACUUAUUUUACUUUCCUUUUACAAUUCUUAUGUUUAAUUUCCAAAGUUUAUGUUUUAUUUUACAGUUGUUGAUGAUUUACUAGUUUUAUGUUAUGUUUGCAAGUUUUUGUUUUGUUUACUAGUAAUAGAUUAAUGGGUAAUUUUUAAUUGAGUCCUCAUUAGAUCUAGAAAAAUAAUUCAGUGACCAGAAGUUUACUAAAUGAAUCAAUUAAAUUCUUUCAAAUACAAACUAAUGUCAUUCAAGUCCUUAACUUAAUUGCUCAGUUAAAAAUACUAACAACGUUGAGGACAUUUUAGUAAAACAACAAUUGAGUCGUUUCUCAUUCUUUAUUUUUGACAGGUGGAAAUAGUUUAAAGUAAAAAAAAUAAUCAAGGCCUAACUGUUAACAUGUAGAUGUUCAUUAUAUUGAUUUUGAUGAUAACAAACUUUAAAUAUUUUUUAUUAAAAUGUUGGAGUUUUCAUUACUAAACAAUUUCUCAAAAGUCGUAUGAUCUUUCUAAAUGUGUUCAUGAAAUAUGGAGAAUCGUUAACUUUAACCGAAAAAUCAUUCCCUGCGAAAUUUGGUUAAAAUUGUGAUUCUGGAAGUAAAUGGUGAACCAUUAACUUCAAAACGGCCAACCAAUAAUUUCCAGAAUGUCAUUCCAUGCUGACCUUCAAUCGUUUAGCAAGAACGGAUAGCAGAAAUUUGUUUUACAGGUUUAUGGAAAUUAACAGCAAACCGAUAGUGUCAAAAGAUCAACUGUUUAUUUGAAAUUUAUCGCAACGGUCACUUGAACCAGUCAAAACGGUUAACUGAUAACGGUUAACGGCGAUCCAAUUUCGGGAAAAAAGUCAACAAUGGCUAUUUUUCAACUCCAACAUUAAAUAAGCUCAAUCAAAUUCAAACAAGAGCUGAUCACAACAUUAUCAUUGAGCUUAUAAUCGAGAAUACAACAUUCAUUGAGCUUCAAAUUCAUUCUUGUUCAUUUAUUCACACAUUAAGCGUUGAUUUGUAAUCUCAAAAAAUUGUGUGAGAGAAAAAUAAAUUUGUAAUCUUUAUUUUGAGUGAUUGUAAAUGUUGGGAUACAUUUGGGUUAAGAGAUUGGGGAUAAUCUCUUGAUGUAAAGGUUGAUUGACGCCUAAGAAGUUAGUUGUAAGUGUUCUUGAAGCCUUGAAGGCUUGACUAGUGGAAUGCCCAAGCUCCGUGUGCUUGGAGGCGUGGAUGUAGGCAAGGUUGGCCGAACCACGUAAAACUCUCUAUAUUUUAAUCUCUCUUCCCUUAUCUUUUUAUAUUUUGGUUGAUUUAUUUAUUAUUGCUUUAAAUUUGUUUAAGAUUUUCAUUAAGUUUUGUUUAAGAAUUGCAUAAUUUUUAGAAACCCAAUUCACCCCCCUCUUGGGUUGCUUAGAUAUUAUUUCACUAACAUGCCUCUGUUUGUGCAAAAUAUAAUAAGGUAAUUUAGAGUACUAACCAUAGUACUCUUCCUCGAAAUUCUAGAAUAGGUUCGGUAGUUCCAUGAGCCCAUAGAUUGGCCCAUGCUCAGCACUGUUAUAGCUCCACACAUCAUGCAAGAUUACUCCCGCAACUAUUCCACACGACCUAAAGCAACACAUUGCCGACUAGCCCAAUAAGAUCUGCCUUAGUUCAUUAGUUGAAUAAUUUAUUUUAAUUCUAAUUUAUAAUAAGAAUGGCACUGAUAAAAUUACUGUAGCAAUUCAUAUAAUAAUAAUCCUUGUGGAGACGAUCUUGAAUACUAAUCAUUAUAUUACUUGUUGUGUAUAUUUUCACAUUGACACUAAUAGCAUUAGAAAAUCGACAACAAGUUUUUUGCGCCAUUGCUGGGGAUUGGUGCUUAUUGUGUUUUGUGAAAUCAAUUUUAGUUGGUACAAUAGAGUUCUUUGCCACCAGACUCCAUCACCACAUGGAAUGAUUUGGCUGACAAUAUUUUGAUGAAAUAUUUCCCACCAACAAAGAAUACAAAGUUGAAGAAUGAGAUCACAUCUUUCCAUCAACUUGAAGAUGAAAGCUUGUAUGAUGCAUGAGAAAGAUUCAAGGAGUUACUCAUGGUAUUCCUUAUUGCAUACAAUUGGAAACUUUCUACAAUGGGUUGAACUCAAGCACUAAGGGCUUUAUUGUCUAACUCAUAUAAUGAGGCUUAUGAAAUUUUGGAAAGGAUAACUAUCAAUGGCCAUCAACUAGACAAGCCACAGUGAGAGGAGCAGCAGGAGUACACAAUGUGGAUGCACUGACAACAUUAUCAGCCCAAGUAACCUCAUUGACAAAUAUGGUAAAAGCAACGGCCACUGCUCCAACAACAAUUAACCAAGUUGCUGAAGUCUCUUGUGUUUAUUAGAGAGAGGGACAUCUAUAUGAUAAUUAUCCUAGGAAUUCAGCUUCAGUCAAUUAUGUGGGCAAUUUUAAUAAACAAAAUCAAAGCAAUCAAUUUUCAAACACCUAUAACCUUGGAUGGAGACAUCACCCAAAUUUUUCAUGGAGCAAUCAGAAUCAGCAUGCUGCAGCAUCUAGUGGACAGAACAGACUUGCUCAACCACCUGGUUUUCACCAGCAAUUAUAAGGGUAAAGAAACACCAGUAAUGAUCAAUUUAGUUCCCUUGAAACUCUAAUUAAGGAGUAUAUUGUGAAGAUUGAAGUAGUGGUCUAAAGCCAAGUUGUAUUUUUAAGAAACUUGGAGAAUAAGAUUGGAUAGCUUGCUACAACAUUGAGCAACAUACCUCAGGACAGUUUACUAAACAAUACAGAGGAUCCAAAGAGAGAAGGAAAAGAGCAUUGUAAGGGGAUUAACUUAUGGUCUGGAAAGGAUGUUCAUAUUCUUGUUAAAGUACCAAAAAGAAAAGUGGAACCUAAUUCAACCCAAAGGGAAACUCAAAUUAAAGAAGAGACACAACAACCCAUUUUCCAGCACACUGGUGAGAGUUGCUAAGCUAUAACAACUGCAAAAAAACAUGAUUCAAUGCUUGUUGAGGAAGAAGCUGCAACACCAACAAUAACAGACCAUAAUAGAGCAAGAGAAAAGCAAUCUGUAUAGUCUGCUGCAGUACAACAAUUUACACAUCCACCAACAUUUCCACAAAGAUUUCAAAAGCGAAAGCAAGACAAGCAAUUCAAUAAAUUCUUGGAAGUAUUGAAACAACUGCAUAUCAACAUUCCUUUUGUGGAAGCAUUAGAACAAAUGCCAAAUUAUGUAAAAUUUUGGAAAUGUAUAUUGGCAAGGAAAAUGAGGCUUGGAGAAUUUGAAAUAGUUGGUCUAACACAAGAAUGCAGCCAUAUGCUUCAAAGUAAAAUGCCUCAAAAGAUGAAGGAUCUAGGAAGUUUCACAAUUCCUUGUUCCAUAGGAACUAAAUAUAGUGGCAAGACACUUGGGUAAUUUUUAGGGACCUCCCCUGAGGAUUGGUGUAUUAACACUUAGAUGGAAUGUAUUCGUGAAAUUACAAAUACCUCCCCUGCCGUUAGUAUAAAAAUACGUAUAACAUCAGUAUAGAAGGGUAAAUGUGUAAAAACAUAUUAAAAACUAAAAAUGUAUGCUUUUACUAGAUCAAUAAAAUUUUGACCACCACUUGCCCCCUGUUGACCCACCGUUGAGCAGCUGAUCAUGGCUCCACCGGUGGCUAGUGGUGGUGCUUUACUAGUGUGGGAGUUCCCUCCUCACACCGGCGACCAACCCCAUUCACGGUCCUUGUGGCACUAAUUAUGGGACUAGUGUAGCAUAAAUACUAAUAUUGCUUUUUAUUUUGUAAAUUAAUUGCUGCGUCAUAAUGUUUUUACAUACACAUUUUAUGUUUUAAAAUAUGAAUUUUUUUUUUGUAUUUAGGGUUAAUUUUACAAUUUCAUACUUUGUUCAAUUAUAUGUACAGGUCCUUAAUGUGUUGGUUGAUGUUGAAUAUUCAAAGAUCCACAAGCUAUCAACGACAACGAAUCAAAUUAAACUAAUUAGUUAAUACAUAAUGACUGGGUUGUUUCCUAUGCUUGUUAAUGAUGUAGGACGUUAUUUUAGGAUUUUAGAAUUUUAAUUAUUAGGUCUUCUGAUAUUUUCUUUUUUAAUUAAAGUCAGUGUCUUAGUUUUUUAUUUAUUUAUGUUAUAAUUAUAAUUUACUUUCUCUUUUUAAGUUAACUUAGGAAAAUAUAUUUACUGUAUUAUAAAGAGAUCUUGUUAUUACUUUAUAACUUCAACUUCAGUUAUUCAAUUAAAAACCCCUCUUUUAAAGUUGUUUGAUUAGAGCAUCAUCUAGCCUUGCUUAACGCAUUAUUAAAAAUCCCUUUGAGUUUAAUCACACUUCUAUUAGAGCGUAACUUAAUCGCAUUAACUUGGUCCAGUACUUGAACGAUAUCUAGUGUUUUGCUUCCGCUAUGCCCAAGGAGAAAAUUAAUUUCACCGUGAGAUAAGAGCAUUAAAAGGAAUUCAUAAGAAAUUUAAAUUAAAGCUAAGUUAAAUAUAUCGCUAGCUACUUGUUUUCGGAGGAAUUAAAACAAUUAAUAAGCUGCGAAGUGAAAAUGAAUAAAUAAAUGAAAUGAGGUUGAAAAUAAGUCUCGCCGCCUGGAUCCAAGGCCAAAACAUUCAUGAUAAGUUAGGUAAUUAAGUACAUGUUUUCAAGCUCUUCAUGAAGAAUAACGUUAUUGAAAUAAAUCACAAAGACUCCCUGCGCAAAUUAUUACAUUGAUUAAAAAAAAAAAACCCAUAUCUUUAACAGGAUCGUGACUCUCGGACUGUUAAUUACUUUAUUCCCUGCUUGGCCAACAGCUGGCCACUAAACAAAAUCAUAAAAAUUUUAAAUUUAGUCAAAUUGGUCCCACUUGAUGACAUCCUUUCCAAACAUAAAAUUGUUAACGUCAAGGUUAAAUAUGAGAAGUUUGGUAGAGAAGGUAAAAAGGAAGUCUAUAUAAGGAGGGGAACGAGCUUUGUUUAUAGCACAAGUGAAACUCCACUUUAUUGAACGAUGGGGUCUCAAAUGGGCUGCCUCUUUGCCACUCUUUUGGUAGUAUCAGUCUCUCUUAGCUACUUGCCGUUAGAAGCCUCCGCAAACAAAUACUACUACACAUCUCCUCCCCCUCCCAAGUACAAGUCUCCACCACCACCCCCGCCACCGGUUCACAAUUCUCCACCACCACCCCCGGUUUACCUGCCCCCGCCACCUCCUCCACCAGUCUACGUGCCUGCUCCGGCACCAACUCCAAUUUUCCCUUCUCCGCCACCUCCUGUCCCCAAGUCCCCACCACCACCUCACCCUUACGUCUAUGCAUCUCCCCCUCCUCCUUACUACUACUAGAAAGCGGCCAUGAAUAGCUCAUGCUUUUAUGGUAAUCUCAUUUAUUUUUAAAACUGUACAUGUAAAGACUAGUAGUUCAGAAUUACAUUAAGCAUUUCAAUUUUAAGCACCGUGUUCUGUUUAAUUGCGUUCCUAUUGAUUAAGUGACAAAUAAAAGAGAUUGAUUAAUUUGUUCUUGUAGGAGAGGCGAAUGGUAUCCGAAUAAAGAAAGCAAGGAUUUGAUGGAAGGCUUACUUGGAGCAAGAUAGCAAUCAAUCGAGUUGCUGCGUUUUAUUCUCUUUUCUCUUUGUUUUUUAAGAAAAAUAAACUGCCACACGUAGAAACAGAAAAUUAAGUUCUUGUCAUUUUCAUGCAUAUGGAUUGUUGCUGUGUGUGUCAAUCAAAUCUCCGUUGUGUCAUUUGUAAUUUUCAACCUUUAUGCAUGCAAAUGCGAGACCUCUUACGUAUAAUAAAAUUAAUAUACUUCCCAAGAUGGUCUUAUCUUGCGUUGACUUUUUACGUUCCUUUGGUGAUGAUUUUGACGUUUGAAAUUGAUGACUAUUGUUUUUGUAAACUCUGACAUGGAUUUUUCGUGCAACUAAAGAGCGCAUUAAUGAGAGGCUUAUCCAUGAGGGUCCAUGCAGAUCAGUGUCUAAUUAACCAAUAAUUAAUAUAACUUAAAAAAUAUAGAGUUAACAAUUUUUAUGGGUUAGGCUCAAUUGCAGAUGUUCGUACAAAAUUUCUUGCUAAUGUAUACUUGAGUAUGAUAAUAAGUUUUAAUCAUUAUUAAUAAUUCACUUGAUAAUAUUAAACAAAUUUUCAUAUCAAUUAAGUUACAAAAUUUCUGUGACAAAUUUCCACGUACUGGAACCAUGCAAAAGGACUUUAUUCAAACAAAGCUGCAUAGCCGUUGGCAAUUAAAAUUAUUUAUCAAUUACGUUAAGUAGUAAGAAUUGGAUUGUGGAUUCCAUUAAUUAUUUCAAGGAAAAUUUUAUAGAUAAUGCCGUAAUGAAAUUUACGGCAUCAAUACCAUGAUAAAUAUAAAUAUUGUAAAUUACAAAGAGAAUUAGUAAAUGUAAAGUAAAACCAGUAAAUUCAUAAAAGAUUAUUAAUUAUUUAAAAAAUUAACAUUGUUUCUACAUAAUUUUAGUGAAAAAUAUUUUAUUCAUUUACAAAAACAUUUCUUUAAUUAAACAAAAAAAAUUCAUUAAUUAAGCAAAAAAAUUAUACUGAAAAAAAAGUGGAAUAAGUUUAAUUGAAUUGGUUAUCAUAAAUUCUAUAUUUAGUCUAGGACAUUUGUAUACAUUUUUUUUUCCCAUUUUCGAUAAUGAUAUCUAUUUGUUACACAUGUUAAUUAAGUGCAAUUAUUUAUCUUGAUGUGGACCAAGUAAAAAAAAAAAAAAAAAAGAGAUAUCAAUAAAAUUAGAUCUAAUUUUGAAUAUUAUGUAUACUUUAUGUAGUUUCAAACUUUUUACUUGUAUUUGGAGACCAUUUAAGGUUGUUGUUGAAGAAGUGUAGAAAGAUGUAAAAUAACUUCAUCUUACAAUAACUAUGAAAGAUAUUAAAAUAAUAUUUUUUUCAAAAUCCGAUUUUGAGAAAAAAUUUCAUCCUUAAUUAAACAUCACAUGUAUUAUAGAAAUGCAAAACUACCAUUGUUAUAUUUAAAUUAAAAAAUAAUAAAUAUAUAAGGUAAUAAACAUUAUAACGAGUUUUUAUUUUAAAAUUGUAAACUUUUGUUUCUGACAAUAACUCUUAUAUUAAUUAAUUUAUUUUGCAUUUUAUUCAUAAGUUUUAUGCAUAAUCUACAAACUUUAUGUUUUAUUUUGCAUUUAAUGUUGAUUUGGUUUUUUUAUAUUAUACGUAUAAGUUUUCAUUUUAUUUACCAGUAAUACAUCAAUUUAUCAGUUUUAUUGUAAUUUACUUAUUUUACCUUCCUUUUACAAUUCUUAUGUUUCAUUUUCAAAAUUUAUGUUUUAUUUUACAGUUGUUGAUGAUUUACUAGUUUUAUGUUAUGUUUGCAAGUUUUUGUUUUGUUUACUAGUAAUAGAUUAAUGGGUAAUUUUUAAUUGAGUCCUCAUUAGUUCUAGAAAAAAAAUUCAGAGACCAGAAGUUUACUAAAUGAAUCAAUUAAAUUCUUUCAAGUACAAACUAAUGUCAUUCAAGUCCUUAACUUAAUUGCUCAGUUAAAAAUAUUAACAACAUUGAGGACAUUUUAGUAAAACAACAAUUGAGUCGUUUCUCAUUCUUUAUUUUUGACAGGUGGAAAUAGUUUAAAGUUAACUCAAUUAACCUGAUUAAGUUAAGGAUCAGUUCUUUCAAAAGAAAAAAAAAAAAAGACCUACAGAAACUGCCAUAUUCUUCGUGUGAGAGGAGAGAUCGAGAGAACGUGGGAUGGUGCAAAAAAUGUUGUAUAAAACUACUGUGAUUUUGACCAAAGCUUUGGUAGCAUUGAUUGAGUUCAAGUACUGGAGAGAACCUAAGUUUAAAGGUUAGUAACUCUAUUUUUUUAGUGAUUUCUGCAAGCAUUUUCUGAUAAAAAAUUUUCCAUAUUGAGUGAUCGUUGUGAAAAAUUAAGUUUUUCAAGUCUAUUUUUCAAAAUGACAAACUAUGUUUAAUUAUUGGUGGAUUCUUUUUUUUUGUUCAAUGUUGUAUUUUGUUAAUUUGUUGUUUUUAAUUUGCUCUUUAUGUAAUUGUUAGACCAAAUACACCAUUAUUAUACUUGUAUUCAUUUCAACAAUUUGGUAUCAUUAUAUUAAUAAGAUUGAAUUCAUUGUAUUUGCUUCUUUGUUCAUGUAAAAUUGAAUUCUAUGUAUUCUUAUGAGUGAUAAUUUUUCUAUCUAUUAGACUAAAUUCACUAUAUUCACUACUUUCUUUCUUUUUGCUGGGCUAUUUUUUUCUUUUUAGUUUAUAUUUUUUAUAUGUAUUAGAUUGAAUUUGCUUUUGUAUGUUUUUUUCGCCAAAUUGCAUGUAUAUUUCAUUUAGGUUGAGUUUUUUUUGUUGUUUGCUAAAUAAAAUUAUAUUGGUUUAUCCUUUUUUGAUGCAAUACUUUUGUUUAAAAUUAAUACAGGUAGCCAUGUUACCUUUUUUUCGGUUAAAAUUAAUGGGGUGAUGUAUGCGAUAGGAUAUAGGGAACCAGAGGAAUAUAAGAUUAUUAGGCUGUUUCUUGAAAUUCAAGAUGUCAUGGUUAAGCAUGGACACAUUGAAAUGGAUUUGAUUGAAAUUUUUGUUGUAUUGCCAUGGACUACAAGUAGGCAGAGGAAGCUAAUUUCAAACGAUAGUGAAUUGUAUUGGGUUUUCGAGGUGUUUUUUUUAUCAAUAGUUGUCCUGUCAUUGAGUUUGAGGUGCACACUGGGUCAGGUGGUCAGUUAUUUCAUGAAAGUGUUGUAAUAGGACCUGAAAAUCCUGUCAAUAUUAAAAAUUAGCGUUGUAAUAGUGAUAAGUUUGAAAAUCCUGUGGCUAAAAAGGGUUUGCCUAGAAUAAUUGGUUCUUCUUUAUUUGCCUCAAAGUCCAACACUAUGAAAUCCACUAGGAAAAAGAAUUUAUCCACUUUAACCAGCACGUCUUCAAUCUUACCUUCAGGAUAAGCAUGAGAUCUGGCAGCACAUUGCAAUGUCACUGUGGCUGGUCUGACUUCUCCAACUCCCAAUUGCUUGAAUUCUAAUAAUGUCAUAAGAUUGAUGCUUGGUCCCAAAUAGGGAUGACAAUUGUACCCGCAAACCCGCCCAAACCCACCUGCCAAAACCCGCCCAUUGCGGGUAAUUUUACCCAUUGCGGGCGGGUUUAGUAUUAUAAAUUAAAACCCGCGCAUGGAUGUGGGUGGGUUUAGUAUUAACCUUAUAUCCGGUGGAUACCCGCAUGGAUAUCCAUCAAACCCGCAAUAUUUUUUUUCAAAUAUUUUUAAUUUAAUUUAAAUAUAAAAAUGUAUAAAGAAAAUAAUGUCAUUAAUCAAAUUACCAAAUAGACAAAGGCUCAAAGUUGUGUAUGUGUGUAUGUGGCCCAUCUCUUAUUCUAAAGUCAUAACCUAAAGAAAACUAAAGGCAUUUCCCUUCGAAUUAGUAUUUAAAAAUAUUAAUCUUAAUUAUUAUUAUAGGCAUUGUGUUGGAUGGGUGCUUAUGGUGGUGAAUGAAAUGAAUAUCUUCUCUUGGAUCUUGUUUUAAAUGAUAAUAUGAAAUGUAAUUAUUAUUUUUAGAUACUAGUUUGUGUUUUUAAAAUAGAUUUGUGUAAUUUAUACUUAAAUUUGAGAAUUUGUAUUGAAUUGAUGUGGAAAUUUUAAUUUUUCAUUGACAUUGUUUAAAUAUAAAAUUGAGUAUGCUAUUUGGAAUUUGAGGUUAUUAUUAUAAAUUUAUAUAUUAAAUAUUUGUGAUUUUAAAUACGAAAACCCGCAAAAAUUCCGCCGGAUACUAUUGCGGGUUUGGUAAUUAUUAAAACCCGCUGCGGGUGGGUUUUUAAAAAAAAAUUAAAACCCGCGGCGGGUUGCGGGUGGGUUUAGUAAUUUAAAUUUUGUGCGGGUUUGGGUUUGAUAAUGGCAAAUCCGCUGCGGGCGGUGCCCAUUGCUAUCCCUAGUCCCAAAUCACAAAGUGUCUUGCCACUGUAUUUAGUUCCUAUGGAACAACGAAUUGUGAAACUUCCUGGAUCAUUCAACUUUUGAGGCAUUUUACUCUGAAGCAUAUGGCUGAAUUCUUGUGUUAGACCAACUAUUUCAACUAUUUCAAAUUAUUUGCCUCAAAGUCCAACACUAUGAAAUCCACUAGGAAAAAGAAUUUAUCCACUUUAACCAGCACGUCUUCAAUCUUACCUUCAGGAUAAGCAUGAGAUCUGGCAGCACAUUGCAAUGUCACUGUGGCUGGUCUGACUUCUCCAACUCCCAAUUGCUUGAAUUCUAAUAAUGUCAUAAGAUUGAUGCUUGGUCCCAAAUAGGGAUGACAAUUGUACCCGCAAACCCGCCCAAACCCACCUGCCAAAACCCGCCCAUUGCGGGUAAUUUUACCCAUUGCGGGCGGGUUUAGUAUUAUAAAUUAAAACCCGCGCAUGGAUGUGGGUGGGUUUAGUAUUAACCUUAUAUCCGGUGGAUACCCGCAUGGAUAUCCAUCAAACCCGCAAUAUUUUUUUUCAAAUAUUUUUAAUUUAAUUUAAAUAUAAAAAUGUAUAAAGAAAAUAAUGUCAUUAAUCAAAUUACCAAAUAGACAAAGGCUCAAAGUUGUGUAUGUGUGUAUGUGGCCCAUCUCUUAUUCUAAAGUCAUAACCUAAAGAAAACUAAAGGCAUUUCCCUUCGAAUUAGUAUUUAAAAAUAUUAAUCUUAAUUAUUAUUAUAGGCAUUGUGUUGGAUGGGUGCUUAUGGUGGUGAAUGAAAUGAAUAUCUUCUCUUGGAUCUUGUUUUAAAUGAUAAUAUGAAAUGUAAUUAUUAUUUUUAGAUACUAGUUUGUGUUUUUAAAAUAGAUUUGUGUAAUUUAUACUUAAAUUUGAGAAUUUGUAUUGAAUUGAUGUGGAAAUUUUAAUUUUUCAUUGACAUUGUUUAAAUAUAAAAUUGAGUAUGCUAUUUGGAAUUUGAGGUUAUUAUUAUAAAUUUAUAUAUUAAAUAUUUGUGAUUUUAAAUACGAAAACCCGCAAAAAUUCCGCCGGAUACUAUUGCGGGUUUGGUAAUUAUUAAAACCCGCUGCGGGUGGGUUUUUAAAAAAAAAUUAAAACCCGCGGCGGGUUGCGGGUGGGUUUAGUAAUUUAAAUUUUGUGCGGGUUUGGGUUUGAUAAUGGCAAAUCCGCUGCGGGCGGUGCCCAUUGCUAUCCCUAGUCCCAAAUCACAAAGUGUCUUGCCACUGUAUUUAGUUCCUAUGGAACAACGAAUUGUGAAACUUCCUGGAUCAUUCAACUUUUGAGGCAUUUUACUCUGAAGCAUAUGGCUGAAUUCUUGUGUUAGACCAACUAUUUCAACUAUUUCAAAUUAUUUGCCUCAAAGUCCAACACUAUGAAAUCCACUAGGAAAAAGAAUUUAUCCACUUUAACCAGCACGUCUUCAAUCUUACCUUCAGGAUAAGCAUGAGAUCUGGCAGCACAUUGCAAUGUCACUGUGGCUGGUCUGACUUCUCCAACUCCCAAUUGCUUGAAUUCUAAUAAUGUCAUAAGAUUGAUGCUUGGUCCCAAAUAGGGAUGACAAUUGUACCCGCAAACCCGCCCAAACCCACCUGCUAAAACCCGCCCGUUGCGGGUAAUUUUACCCAUUGCGGGCGGGUUUAGUAUUAUAAAUUAAAACCCGCGCAUGGAUGUGGGUGGGUUUGGUAUUAACCUUAUAUCCGGUGGAUACCCGCAUGGAUAUCCACCAAACCCGCAAUAUUUUUUUUCAAAUAUUUUUAAUUUAAUUUAAAUAUAAAAAUGUAUAAAGAAAAUAAUGUCAUUAAUCAAAUUACCAAAUAGACAAAGGCUCAAAGUUGUGUAUGUGUGUAUGUGGCCCAUCUCUUAUUCUAAAGUCAUAACCUAAAGAAAACUAAAGGCAUUUCCCUUCGAAUUAGUAUUUGAAAAUAUUAAUCUUAAUUAUUAUUAUAGGCAUUGUGUUGGAUGGGUGCUUAUGGUGGUGAAUGAAAUGAAUAUCUUCUCUUGGAUCUUGUUUUAAAUGAUAAUAUGAAAUGUAAUUAUUAUUUUUAGAUACUAGUUUGUGUUUUUAAAAUAGAUUUGUGUAAUUUAUACUUACUUUUGAGAAUUUGUAUUGAAUUGAUGUGGAAAUUUUAAUUUUUCAUUGACAUUGUUUAAAUAUAAAAUUGAGUAUGCUAUUUGGAAUUUGAGGUUAUUAUUAUAAAUUUAUAUAUUAAAUAUUUGUGAUUUUAAAUACGAAAACCCGCAAAAAAUCCGCCGGAUACUAUUGCGGGUUUGGUAAUUAUUAAAACCCGCUGCGGGUGGGUUUUUAAAAAAAAAUUAAAACCCGCGGCGGGUUGCGGGUGGGUUUGGUAAUUUAAAUUUUGUGCGGGUUUGGGUUUGAUAAUGGCAAAUCCGCUGCGGGCGGUGCCCAUUGCCAUCCCUAGUCCCAAAUCACAAAGUGUCUUGCCACUGUAUUUAGUUCCUAUGGAACAACGAAUUGUGAAACUUCCUGGAUCAUUCAACUUCUGAGGCAUUUUACUCUGAAGCAUAUGGCUGAAUUCUUGUGUUAGACCAACUAUUUCAAAUUCUCCGAGCCUCAUUUUCCUUGCCAAUAUACAUUUCCAAAACUUUACAUAAUUUGGCAUUUGUUCUAAUGCUUCUACAAAAGGAAUGUUGAUAUGCAGUUAUUUCAAUACUUCCAAGAAUUUACUGAACUGCUUGUCUUGCUUUCGCUUUUGAAAUCUUUGUGGGAAGGAUGGUGGAUGUGUAAAUUGUUGUACUGCAGCAGACUAUACAUAUUGCUUUUCUCUUGCUCUAUUAUGGUAUGAUAUUGUUGGUGCUGCAGCUUCUUCCUCAACAAGCACUGAAUCAUGUUUUUUUUGCAGUUGCUAUAACUUAGCAACUCUCACCAGUGUGCUGGAAAAUGGGUUGUUGUGUCUCUUCUUUAAUUUGAGUUUCCCCUUGGGUUGAAUUAGGUUCCACUCUUCUUUUUAGUACUUUAACAAGUAUAUGAACAUCCUUUCCAGACCUUAAGUUAAUCCCCUUACAAUGCUCUUUUCCUUCCCUCUUUCGAUCCUCUGUAUUGUUUAGUAAAUUGUCCUGAGGUAUGUUGCUCAAUGUUGUAGCAAGCUGUCCAAUCUUAUUCUCCAAGUUUCUUAAAAAUACAGCUUGGCUUUAGACCACUACUUCAAUCUUCACAAUAUACUCCUUAAUCAGAGUUUCAAUGGAACUAAAUUGAUCAUUACUGGUGUUUCUUUACCCUUAAAAUUUCUGGUGAAAAUCAGGUGGUUGAGCAAGUCAGUUCUGUCCACUGGAUGCUGCAGCAUGCUGAUUCUGAUUGCUCCUUUUAAAAUUUGGGUGAUGUCUCCAUCCUAGGUUAUAGGUGUUUGAAAAUGGAUUGCUUUGAUUUUGUUUAUUAAAAUUGCCCACAUAAUUGACGGAAACUGAAUUCCUAGGACAAUUAUCAUAUAGAUGUCCCUCUCCAUAAUAAACACAAGAGACUUCAGCAAUUUGGUUAACUGUUGUUGGAGCAGUGGCCGUUGCUUUUACCAUAUUUGUCAAUGAGGUUACUUGGGCUGAUAAUGUUGUCAGUGCAUCCACAUUGUGUACUCCUGCUGCUCCUCUCACUAUGGCUUGUCUAGUUGAUGGCCAUUGAUAGUUAUCCUUUCCAAAAUUUCAUAAGCCUCAUUAUAUGAGUUAAACAAUAAAGCCCCUAGUUAUUGAGUUCAACCCAUUGUAGAAAGUUUCCAAUUGUAUGCAAUAAGGAAUACCAUGAUGAGGGCAUCUCCUGAGUAACUCCUUGAAUCUUUCUCAUGCAUCAUACAAGCUUUCAUCUUCAAGUUGAUGGAAAGAUGUGAUCUCAUUCUUCAACUUUGCAUUCUUUGUUGGUGGGAAAUAUUUCAUCAAAAUUUUGUCAGCCAAAUAAUUCCAUGUGGUGAUGGAGUCUGGUUGCAAAGAACUCCACUGUACCAACUAAAAUUGAUUUCACAAAACACAAUAAGCACCAAUCCCUGGCAACGGCGCAAAAAACUUGUUGUCGAUUUUCUAAUGUUAUUAGUGUCAAUGUGAAAAUGUACACAACAAGUAAUAUAACGAUAAGUAUUCACUCCACAAGGAUUAUUAUUAUAGGAAUUGCUACAGUAAUUCUAUCAGUGCCAUUCUUAUUAUAAAUUAGAAUUUAAACAAAUUAUUCAACUAAUGAACUAAGGCAGAUCUUAUUGGGCUAGUCGGCAAUGUGUUGCUUUAGGUCAUGUGGAAUAGUUGCGGGAGUGAUCUUGCAUGAUGUGUGGAGCUAUAACAGUGCUGAGCAUGGGCCAAUCUAUGGGCUUAUGGAACUAGCGAACCUAAUCUAGAAUUUCGAGGAAGAGUACUCUGGUUAGUACUCUAAAUUACCUUAUUAUAUUUUGCACAAACAGAGGCAUGUUAGUGAAAUAAUAUCUAAGCAACCCAAGAGGGGGGUGAAUUGGGUUUCUAAAAAUUAUGCAAUUCUUAAACAAAACUUAAUGCAAAUCUUAAACGAAUUUAAAGUAAUAAUAAAUAAAUCAACCAAAGUAUAAAAAGAUAAGGGAAGAUAGAUUAAAAAACAGAGAGUUUUACGUGGUUCGGCCAACCUUGCCUACAUCCACGCCCCCAAGCACACCGAGCUUGGGCAUUCCACUAGUCAAGCCUUCAAGGCUUCAAGAACACUUACAAUUGACUUCUUAGGUGUCAAUCAACCUUUACAUCUAGAGAUUAUCCUCAAUCUCUUAACCCAAGUGUAUCCCAACAUUUACAAUCACUCAAAAUAAAGAUUACAAAUUUAUUUUUCUCUCACACAAUUUUUUAAGAUUACAAAUCAACGCUUAAUGUGUGAAUAAAUGAACAAGAAUGAAUUUGAAGCUCAAUGAAUGUUGUAUUCUCGAUUAUAAGCUCAAUGAUAACGUUGUGAUAAGCUCUUGUUUGAAUUUGAUUGAGCUUAUUUAUAGUUAGAGUUGAAAAAUAGCCAUUGUUGACUUUUUCCCGAAAUUGGAUCGCCGUUAACCGUUAUCGGUUAACCGUUUUGACUGGUCCAAGUGACCGUUGAGCUGAAUUUCAAAUAAACGGUUGAUCUUUUGACACUAUCGGUUUGCUAUUAAUUUCCAUAAACCUGUAAAACAAAUUUAUGCUAUCCGUUCUUGCUAAACGGUUGAAGGUCAGCAUGGAAUAACAUUCUAGAAAUUAUUGGUUGGCCGUUUGAAGUUCACGGUUCACCGUUUACUUCUAGAAUCACAGUUUUAACCAAAUUUCGCAGGGAAUGCUUUUUCGGUUAAAGUUAACGAUUAUCCAUAUUUCAUGAACACAUUUAGAAAAAUCAUACGACUUUUGAGAAAUUGUUUAGUAAUGAAAACUCUAACAUUUUAAUCAAAUACAUUUAAAGUUUGUUAUCAUCAAAAUCAAUAUAAUGAACAUCUACAUGUUAACAGUUAGGCCUUGAUUAUUUUUUAAAUCUUAUAAGAUAUAUUGUGAUAAUAGUAACUCAAUUUUCAUAAAACGUGGAAAGAUCAGUCGCCAAAUUUAUAGAUGCCAUAGAAAAUCUAGAUUUUAGUAAGGAAUAUCAAGUUAUUUAUACAAUGAAAAUUGUUAAAACUCGAUUAAUUGCAAGGAAACACUUUUAGAGAGAUAUGGAGAGAAUAAACUUUGAAGAUAACAAUGAAAUACAUGACACAUUUAAGGAAGAAAAUAUAAUAGUAUUAAUAGAAUCUAUUUUAACCGGUCUUAAGAUCAUUCAAGAUUGAUGCAAAAUAAAUAACAGGACUCUAAACCGUCCAUAAUAAGUCUAUUGAUUAAUAAUAACAAUAAUAGUGAUGUGAAAUUUUUUAUUCAGAAUGCUCAAUUUAGAUUAUAAUAUCUAUGUGAAAGCAUUGAUGGCAUGUACCUUGGUUAGGAAAAUAGAUUGGACACAUGGAUAUAUAUGUUGGAAGAACAAAUCUAGUUUAUAUCUCAAGAGAGAUAAUAAAUUAUAAAUGACGGUGCUAUAGUAUAUUCAGAUUUUAUAAAUCUUUAUAAAUUUAAUAAUCAUUUAGAUCUUCAUAAUAUUAUAAUAAAACUUUAAAAAUAUAUGUAGAAGAGAUGGAAGAAGAAAUCAUCCAGUUAUUCAAAAUCAAUUAAACAAAAAUAGAAGGUAAAAUCCUUGAAUUAUAUAAAUUAUACAAUUUCACAGAAAUUUUGCAUAUAUUGUGAAACGGUCCUUGUGGCACUAAUUAUGGGACUAGUGUAGCAUAAAUACUAAUAUUGCUUUUUAUUUUGUAAAUUAAUUGUUGCGUCAUAAUGUUUUUACAUGCACAUUUUUUGUUUUAAAAUAUGAAUUUUUUUUUUUGUAUUUAGGGUUAAUUUUACAAUUUCAUACUUUGUUCAAUUAUAUGUACAGGUCCUUAACGUGUUGGUUGAUGUUGAAUAUUCAAAGAUCCACAAGCUAUCAACGACAACGAAUCAAAUUAAACUAAUUAGUUAAUACAUAAUGACUGGGUUGUUUCCUAUGUUGUUAAUGAUGUAGGACGUUAUUUUAGGAUUUUAGAAUUUUAAUUUUUAGGUCUUCUGAUAUUUUCUUUUUUAAUUAAAGUCAGUGUCUUAGUUUUUUAUUUAUUUAUGUUAUAAUUAUAAUUUACUUUCUCUUUUUAAGUUAACUUAGGAAAAUAUAUUUACUGUAUUAUAAAUAAAGAGACCUUGUUAUUACUUUAUAACUUCAACUUCAGUUAUUCAAUUAAAAACCCCUCUUUUAUAAUUUCCUUUUGUAUUAUCUAUUAAAAACCCCUCUUUUAAAGUUGUUUGAUUAGAGCAUCAUCUAGCCUUGCUUAACGCAGUAUUAAAAAUCCCUUUGAGUUUAAUCACACUUCGAUUAGAGCGUAACUUAAUCGCAUUGACUUGGUCCAGUACUUGAACGAUAUCUAGUGUUUUGCUUCCGCUAUGCCCAAGGAGAAAAUUAAUUUCACCGUGAGAUAAGAGCAUUAAAAGGAAUUCAUAAGAAAUUGGGAAAAUAUCCACCGUCCACCUGAUUUUGUCCACUUUUUUAAAAAUACACAAAUCUUAAUUUUUUUUGCUGCGCUACACCUAAACUUAUUUUUUUUUUCACAUUUCCACCUCCGUUUGCAAACCGUCAAAACGUUGCUGACGUCAUAAGGAUAAAAUAAUAAUUUCACUUGGGCUUCAAAAACAACUUCGUUUAAGAUCUGUAAUUUAACCUUUUCGUUUGAUUCUGGAGUAAGGUUGGCCCUACAAACCGGGCAUGUCACGUGAGAGGCUAAGUAGAGUGGGCUCUGACCGAAAAACUAAAUUUUUAUCUAUUUUGUGUAAAUUUACUGAUUAACCACCUCGAAUUCAAUAAUAUUUGUUUCAACCCAAUUAAAUAAUAUUAUAACCCCUGCCGACCCAUAAAAUCAUGGUUCCACGCACUAUAACCAUAUAAAAGGGCUUUAUUAAAACAAAACUGCAAUUAAGAUCAUUUAUCAAUUAAAUUAAGUAGUAAUUAAGACUUUGAUGGUGGAUUCUAUUAAUUGUUUCAAAGGAGUGUCGGAUUUGUCUUCUUUCUAUUGUUUUUUCAACUUUCAGAUAACAAAUUAACAUUAACACAUACCUAGCUAAAAAAGGAAACAAGUGAAGUAAUAUAAUGUCAACUAGGAAUAGGUCUAGUGCUUUAACCAACACCUUCAGAUACCUUAAUUUGAUUUUUUAAAAAUCAAAACAAAUUAAUGAAUUAAAACAUUAUAAUACUCCAAAUGUACUUAUGAAGUAACUUAAUUUAUUAUCGAUAAAAAAAAAAUUUAAUAACAUAUUAAUAUUAUUUAGUUCUUCAUGGUCAGUCUUUUUCUAAUGUGAAAUUUUGACAUUCACAAGAAAUUAUAGAAUACAUCAGAGAUAUCGUGUCAAUCAUACAACAAAUAAUUGAUGUUAUAAUAUAUGUGCAUUUAUUUUAACAAAUUACCAUGCAAGUAAUUGUUAUAUUAAAUUCAAUUAUUCAUAUUAUACAUACAUUAGUUAGUUGUAUUACCUUUAAUGAAUAAAGUUUUGAGAAGUGUGCUCAAAUCUUUUCGACCAUGAGGUCAUUACCAUUAGAGGUAUGUCUUGUUACAUCAAUAAAAGUCAUCACUUUCCUUUUGGUAAAUCAUCCAUUAAGAGUUCCAGACCAUUAGAGAUUAUAUAUUCUAAUGUAUGGGGUCCUGCUCUUAUUACUUCCAUUGAUGGUUUUAGAUAAUACAUUAUUUUUAUUAACCAUAUUACUAAAUAUGUCUGGCUCUAUCCUUUACGUAUUAAAUCAUAUGUUUUCUCAACAUUUAAUUCAAUAUAAAAAUGUAGUUGAAAAAUUUUUUCACACUAAGAUUGCUUCAGUAUAUACUGAUGGUGGUGGUGAAUUUAUUAAAUUAAAACAAUUUUUCAAUCAAACAGGAAUCUCUCAGUUACUCACACCACCAUAUACAUCUCGACUAAUCAUGAUCUUUCCGUUGUUUGGAUUGUAAAGCUUGUAUCCUUUGGAGUUGUUGUCAUAGCCGAUUCAGAUGAACUUCUCACUUUUGUCAUCCAGCUUAGCUCUUCUUUCGUCUGGUAUAUGUACAUGGGCAAUGCUUCCAAAACUCUUAGAUGGGUGAUGCCGGGCUUUCUUUCACUCUAAGCUUCUUGUGGCGUCUUGCCCCACACACUUCUUGUUGGAGAUUGAUUGGAUAAGUAGACUGCACAUGCAACAACUUCAGCCCAAAAUUCUUUAGGUAGCCUCUUACUCUUGAGCAUGCUUCUUGCAAUGUCGAGGAUGGUUCUGUUAUUCCUUUCCUCAACACCAUUUUGUUAGGGGGAUCUUGGAACUGUCCAAGGGCGUCAAAUUCCAUUUAUUUUAAAAAACUCUACAAAUUCUUUGGAAGUGAACUCUCCACCUCAAUUAUAUCUCAUGGCUUUAAUCUGGUAUCCACUUUCUUUUUCAACUACUGCUUUAAAAUUUUUGAAAGCUUUAAAAACUUUUGAUUUAAAAAAAAAAACACCUAAGUUUUCCUGAAAAAUCAUCUAUGAAGAGAAGGAAGUAGUUACUUUUACCAAGGGAGCUUGGCUUGAAUGGACCGCACACAUCAGUAUAAAUGAGCUCAAGUGGCUUCUGAGCUCUUGAGUUUGACUCCUUUGGAAAGCUCUUUCUGAACUGCUUGCUAAGUAAACAUCCUUCACAAAGUUAUUUGGUGGCUACCAUCUUUUGCACAAAAAAGAAUGUUACCUCUACCCUUUACUGGUACUUUUGAAUCAUCUCCAAAAGAGACACUGCCAUUUACAGAUUCAUUUAGUUCCACGAACAUGCUUCUGUUUCCGCUCAUAUGAUUGCUAGCACCUGUGUCAAGAUACCAUGUAUUUUCUUGACCUCCACUUGUGUCAUUGCGUGCUAGUAAAAGGGUUUCAUCUUCACCAUUUUUCUCUUCAACACAAUUCACUCUCUCAUCAAUUCUGGUAGUUGCAGCUCUACAUUCUGAAGCAUAAUGCCCAAACUUUUGACAAUUAUAGAAUUAUACUUGAGAUUUGUCAUACCUCGAUCUUGGAUUGCCUUUUCAUCGUCCUCUGGUUGAGCUUUCUCCUUCGGCAUAAUUGGAGUUGUUGUUCUUGAAAUUCCAACCUCAUCCAUGACCACGACCUCUACCUCGUCCUCGACCUCUACCUCGGACAUAAUGCCUUCUCUCAUUGUCGGAGCUUUCUUCUAUUUUCUUUGGAUUGACUUCUAUAUUGAGAAGUUGUUCUUUGAUUCCUUACUUCUUUUCCAGUUUUUCUUCAUAAGCUUGCAACCUUCCUUAAAAUUGCUUGAUCGUCAUAUCUUACAGAUUUUUUGUUUCCUCAAUUGUCACAAUAAUAUGGUCAAACUUCGAGUUUACUGAUCGAAGUAUCUUUUCAAUGAUCCUUACCUCUUUUAACUCCUCGCCAUUUCUUUUUAAUUUAGAGGAAACGGUCAUAACCUGAGUAAAGUAGUAAAAAAUUGACUAUAAUGCCUUCAUGUGUAAAGACUCAAAUUUUCCUCGUAAUGUUUAGAGAUGAACCUUCUUAACUUGGUCCACUUCUUUAUAAGAGAUCUCUAACUUCUCUUAUGCUUCUUUUUAAGAGAUUGCACUUGCAAUCUAUCUUCAUCUAAUGAUUGAAAGAUGAGAUACUUUGUUUUAUUCUCUUUCUUCUUCAAGUUUUUUAAAUUCUCCUUCUGUGCUGCAGUUAAAGUGGCUUCAUUUUCUGGCAGAAUAAAGUCUUUUUUCAUGACAUCUCAUACAUCAUGUGCACCCAAUAGAGCCUUCAUUUUAAUACUCCAGUUGUCAAACUUACUCCCCUUUAAUUGUGGAACUUAAAAUGACAUCAUACCACUAUUUGCCAUAACUCACAAAUUGACUGAGAAUUUGGAGAUUCUGAGUGGAUGGAUGGAACCGGCACGUCGAAAAACCUUGGAAGGGACUCAAGUCAACUUUCAGUCAAUGGUCAACACCGAUCAACGAUCUACGUCAGUCAACGGUCAACGUCGGCUUAGUUGACUUGGUUCGGUCCGGCUUGGUUCGGUUCGAGUUGGCUUGGUUUGACUUGAUUCGGUUCGGCUCAGCUCGACUUGGUUCGGUUUGGUUUAGCUUAGUUCAACUCGUUGAGUCGACUCAGCUUCAGAACAGAAAACUUCCGGUGGCUAGUACAGGUGCAUCUGAUCUCUUAUCGGGCUGAGUUUUAUGGCGUCGCGUUCCUCUUGUCGAGAUAUUCGAUUUGAUAUGUUAUAUGACUAUAUAUAACAUUGAUCACUAGCUCUGAUACUACUUUGUUGGAGAAUCAACAAAUUAAACACUAAAAAAACACUCUAUUUUAUUUCUUCAACAACACUCCUCAACUACAACUCUUAUUUUUCACUCUCUACAACUUAGAGAUUUUGUUACUUCACUUGAUGCAUAACCAAAUGACACAAGGGGGUAUUUAUAGUAUAUGAGAAGAAAUCUAAACUAUUCAAAUAAGAAAUUACAAAAAAUUAAUAACCAUUCAUCUUCACCUACUAAACCUACCACACCUAAAAUAAAUAAUUCAAACCUCACCAACCAUACCUACUCAUGGAACCUUCCAUGGGUUGGGCUUAUUAAUUUGUUUUUGAAUUUUUUUUUUAUCUUGGAUCAAGUCUAUGAUCCAACAAAAUUAACCACAAUAGUUUAUGGAAAACAAAUAAAUAAAAUUACACUAUCACAAAAUUUAGGUUGCAUGUGUAGUGCUAUAAAUGCACACCUGUUAGAGUAUUAUAAAAAAAUAAAGCAUCGCUUAGUUUGGCAUUAGAUUCAAAUACAUGUGCAUAAAUCUUUGUGUUUUUAUACAAAUUAAUAAAAGCACUCUGGUUGAAGUUGAAAGAAAUUUAGAUUUAUUGCAAAUAGAUGUAGGCAAUCAAAAAAACUAGAAUUAACAACUUAAUUAAUUUUCGUAAAUAUUGGUCAUCGUUACUGUUUACCGUUACUGUUCUUUGGCAUUGUUCAUGGUUACUGUUCAUCCGCAUCACGAAUAUAAGUUUCCAAAAACACAAUAAAUUGCAGAAAUUAAAUGACGCGGAGAUUUUUACGUGGUUCAGAUUAAUCAAUCCUACAUCCAUGGGGUUACGCCCAAGUGAAAAGUAAUUCAUUAAGUUGAGAUGUUAUAACCUAUGGAUUUAUCAAACUUAAAACUCUCAUUUACAGUUUAUCACCAUACAAUUUACUCAACCUUAGAGUGAAUAUGCUUCUCUUGAAUAAUUACUACCCCUCUUGAUCCACGAUCCUUAAGACACUUUGUAAAGUGAUCAAUAGGAAUUUUUUAAUAUCCAGUGAUCCAAGAUCCACAUAGACUCUUCAUAAAGAUGAAAAGAAGAUAAGAAAAUAAAUCAACACAACAUUAUGCACAAAAUUUGAAUUCUCUAGGGAGGAGACCGAAUUUUGCUUCUUUGUUUUAUGUCAAAUUCCUCACUGCUUGUCCUAAGGACUGUAAUAAUAAAUGGUACUCAGCAUAACAUAUGAUACAAGUUAGAAUCAACAGUAAAAGGGUUAAUCAAACCAUUGACUUAAAUCGAGUCUAUAAUGACUGUAAUCCUGAAUUAUUUGAGCCUAAAGCUCUUACCAGCAAAUGGGUAGUUGAGAUGAAAGUCCUCUAUAAACAACUUGAACGAAUAAGUAAAGAAUAAAAUAUGGCUUCACCAAGUCAUGACAGAAAAUAUAAGCAAAAAAGAAAACAUUUUAGCCAAACAAGCCAUCUUGAAAAAGAAGAAGGCAAUAUAUGAGAAUCUUGUGGAAUCUAGCUUACUAACACACCAUAGGAUAUGCAAGGUGCUUAAGCAUUGUGGCUUUUGCUAUAAAAAAUCAAAAGAAGAAUUUAGCGAGAAAAGACAUGUCACUAGAUGAAGAGCUUGUACUUAGUAUGUGAUAGGAGACCACUAAAAAGAUAAAAGAUGCUAGCUAAAAGCAUCAAUAAUUCAUAGAGAAUCCAAGGGAAAAGAUAAGGCUUAUCAGAAUCCUUACCUCAACCAUAUGAAGACUGUUAACCAUAAAAAAAAGAAGACAAUAGUUGUCUUCAAUAAUGCAAGGGGAAGGGUUAGCUUGUUUCUAGGAAGUCUACCAUGUAACAAGUGCUAUGUAAAAAAAGAUAAUCUCAUCUCUAAAAUCCAUAUGUGUCCUAUAAGAAGGGAUUAUGUUAUCUGUUCAAGUCUAUAAAUAGGGUCAUGUUAGAUAGGAGAUGUAUAACUCACGAAUAUACUCUUAUUCCCAUCUUUAUUCUCUCUUUAAAUUCAUAAAUAAAUUGAAAAAAAAAAACUCUUUUUGAGUGAAAUUAUCAUCUUUAUAUCUAUCUUAUUUAGACUUGAGAAAAAAAAUCAAGAAUCUUACAUGCCAACACUUGUGUUAAAUGAAAAAGAUUUCAUUUUAUUAAGCACUCUUCUAAAGGCAAUUGCAAGGGAUUCACAUAGAUAGAUCUUAUUAGGCAAGUCUGUAGUGUGUUGCAUUAGGCCGUGUAGAACAGUUACAGAAGUGAUCUUGCAUGAUGCGUGCAGCUAGAGCGAUGUUGACCAUGGGCCAAUCUAUGGUCUCGAGUUAUUAGCGAAUUUAUUCCCGAAUUUUGAGGAAUAGUACAUUGGCUAGUACAUGGAAUUAUCUUAUUAUAUUUUGGACAAACAGAAGCAUGUUAGACCUAGAUUAUCUUUUAGAUCUUACAAGAUAUAAAGUGAUAAGUGUAACUUAAUUUUCAUAAAACGUUGAAUGAUAAGUCAAGAAACUUCUAGAUGCCACAGAUAAUCUAGACUUUAGUUAGGAAUUUAAGUUAUUUAUGCAAUGGAAAUUGUUAAAACUCGAUUAAUUGCAAGCAAACGCUUGUAUAAAGACAUAAAGAAAAUAAACUUUGAAGAUAACAAUGAAAUAUAUGAGACCUUUUAGGAAGAAAAUAGAAUAACAUUAAUAGAAUCUAUCUAACCAAUCUUGAAAAAAUUUAAAACAGAUGUAAAACAAAUAACAGGACUCUAAACCAUCCAUAAUAAGUCUAUUGAUGGAUAAUAACAAUAAUAAUGAUGUGAACUUUUUGAUUGGGAAUGCUGAAUUUAGAUUACAAUACCAAUGUGAAAGGAUUGAUGGCAUGUACCUUGGUUGGGAAAAUAGAUUGGACAUCUCUAUAGAUUUGUUGGAAGAAAAAAUCUAGUUUAUGUCUCAAGAGAGACAAGAAAUGAUGAAUGCCGGUGCUAUAAUAUAUGAUGAUUUUUAUGAAUUUGAUAAUCAUUUAGAUCUUUAUAACAAUAUAAUUAAAACUUCAAAAAGCUUUAAAAAUAGAUGCAGAAGAGAUUGGAAAAAAAAAAUCGUCUAGUUGUUCAAAACCAAUUAAACAAAAAUAAAAUGUGAAAUCCUUGAAUUAUAUAAAUUAUAUAAUUUCACAAAAAAUUGUGCUUUGGUGCUUAGUAUGGGUAAUUAGUGCGGUAUAAAUGCUCAUUUUUCUUUUUCUUUUGUAAAUAAAUUAUUGCAUCUUAAUUUUGUUACAUGUUACGAAUUUUGUGUUUUAAAAUACGCAAUUUUGUUUUCGUAUUUUGGGUUAAUUUUAUAAUUUCGUACUUUGUUCGACUAUAUGCACAGGUCCUUAACAUGUUGAUUGAUGUUGAAUAUAUAUUCAAAGAUCCACAAACUACCAAUGACAACAAAAGAAAUUAAACUAAAUAGUUAAUACAUAAUGAUUGGGUUGUUUUUACUACUUGUUAAUGAUGUAGGACGUUAUUUUAAGAUUUUAAGAUUUUAUUACUUUAGCCAUUUGAUAUUUCUUUUUUUAAUUAAGGUGUGUGUCUUAAUUUUUUUAUUUCUAUUAUAAUUAUGAUGUAGUUUCCAUUUUUAAGUUAACUUAGGUUAGUAGAUUUACUCUAUUAUAAAUACAGAGGUCUUGUAAUUAUUUUUGUAACUUCAACUUCAAUUAUUCAAUUAAAAACUCCUAUUUCAUAAUUUCCUUUGCUAUUAUAUAUUAAAAAUCUCUCUUGUAGAGUUGUUUAGAUUAUAGCAUCAUCUAACUUUGCGUAAUGCAAUAUUAAAAAUCCCAUUUAGUUAUUUGAAUUAGAACGAGAUCUAAUAACACUUCGAUUAGAAUGUAACUUAAUUGUGUUGUCUUGAUUCAGUACUUAAACGAUGUGUAGUGUUUCUCUUCCGCUACGUUGCUCCGUCGAUUAACAUUUCUAGGGGAAAAUUAAUUUCACCGUGAGAUAAGAGCAUUAAAAGGAGUUCAUAAGAAAGUAAAAUUAAUGCUAUGUUAAAUGUAUCGCAAGCUACUUAUUUUUCUGGAAAUUGAAACGAUUAAUUAACUACGAGGUGAAAAUAAAUAAAUAAAUGAAUAUGAAGUUGAAAAUAAGUCUCGCCGCCUGGACCCAAGGCCAAAACAUUCAUGAUAAGUUAGGUAAUUAAAUACAUGUUUCAAGCUACAUGUUUUCAAUCUCUUCAUGAAGAAUGAUGAUAUUGAAGUAAAUCACAGAGACUUGCUGUUCAAAUCAUUACUUUGAUACAAAAAAUGCCAUAUCAUUAAAAGGAUCGUGACUUUUAAUUACUUUAUUCCCUGUUUGGGCAACAGCUAGCCACUAAAGAAAAUCAUAAAAUUUUAUGUUUAGUCAAAUUUGUGCCAACCUGAUGACACCGUUUUCAUCAUUUGGUUACUAAUGUUUAACAUCAAGGUUAUAUAUGACAAGUUUGGUAGAGCAGGUGAAAAGCCUAAGUCUAUAUAAGGAGGGGAAGGAGCUUGGUUUAUAGCACAACCGAAACUCCACUUUGCAUUGAACGAUGGGGUCUCAAACGGGCUAUCUCUUUGCCACUCUUUUGGUAAUAUCAGUCUCUCUUAGCCACUUGCCAUUAGAAGCCUCCGCAAACAAUUACUACUACACAUCUCCUCCCCCACCAAAGAAAUAUCCACCACCACCACCUCCCCCUCCCCAGUACAAAUCUCCACCACCCCCGCCACCGGUUCACAAGUCUCCACCACCACCCCCGGAUUACAAGUCCCCGCCACCUCCUCCACCAGCCUGCGAGCCUGCUCCGCCACCAACUCCAAUUUUCCCUUCUCCGCCACCUCCUGUCCCCAAGUUCUCGCCACCACCGCCUCACCCUUACGUCUAUGCAUCUCCCCCUCCUCCUUACUACUACUAGAAAGCGGCCAUGAAUAGCUCAUGCUUUUAUGGUAAUCUCAUUUAUUUUUAAAACUGUACAUGUAAAGACUAGUAGUUCAAAAUUACAUUAAGCAUUUCAAUUUUAAGCACCGUGUUCUGUUUAAUUGUGUUCCUAGUGAUUAAGUGACAAAUAAAAGAGACUGAUGAAUUUGUUCUUGUAGG